rnacentral:rRNA from 1 species
UACGGAGGGCGCAAGCGUUGUUCGGAUUUACUGGGCGUAAAGUGUGUCUAGGCGGAGGUGUGUGUCAGGUGUGAAAGACCCGGGCUUAACCCGGGAAUUGCGCCUGAAACUGCACUUCUUGAGUUAUGGAGAGGUGGGUAGAAUACCUAGUGUAGCAGUGAAAUGCGUAGAUAUUAGGUGGAACACCAGAGGCGAAGGCGGCCCACUGGCCAUAUACUGACGCUGAAGCACGAAAGCGUGGGGAGCAAACAGG